AAAUUAAGAUAAGAUAUUUAAAAAAAAUCUUUUUAAGCAUUCUUCAUUGAAACAAUUGGUGAUUGACCAAUCCAUCUCUGACUUGGUAAAGACACUUUUUAAAGGAAAGUGUCAGAGUUAUCUGUCACAUGAACAUACUUUUUGACCGACCUGUAAAUUCUGGACUUAUGAUAAAAUUAUUAAGGGAUGUUCAGUCUAUCAGUCAGUAUCAAGACAUUUUCACUGUGAUUACAUUAUGGAAAGUGACUAAACAAAUCUUAAUUACUUCUUAAGGAAAUGUCUGACUGCCUUUUUAAAUACUGCAAAGAAAAUGUUUGAACAAAUCCUGAGAUCUAAACAAUACAGAACAGUAAUUUAAAGACAUUUCAUAUUCCCUAUUACAGGACCUACUUAUUGUAUUUAUUGUUAAUUAGUUCUUAUACUGAAUAUGCAUGACAUAUUUGCCACUGGAAAUUAAUCAGCCAACAAUCAAUCAAUCACAUUAAGUAACAAGGUUAUAAUUUUGAAUUAAAGUUAUGCUAAGUGAUAUAACAAACCAGUACAAGUUGCACUGUAGAAAUGUUUAGAAAACUUCUGACAAUCUGCUUAGCUAUGGCAACCAUAGUAAUGAAAUGAAAUUGUUGUGAUGUAAUGCUACAUUUGAACAAUUUGAUACUUAAGCUCCCUUUCUUGUUUAUUAUUUUUCAGAAUAAAGUUUCAUGAAUUUCAAAGAUACUUUCUUAUGUUUACUGGAGAGGUUCAGUUGAGUAGUUAGCAAUAGAUGAAGUGUUAUCAAAAAUUUGAAGACUGGAAUAGGGUGUAUGGAGGCUGCUAAAAACUAAAACUUGUGCAAUGAAAACCCAUUUUCAAGAGAAACAAUACAUACUGACUUUUGAACAAGGAUUUUUGAAAACUAAAUGUUUUGUCAAUCAGUCAUAUAUACAUUAUCACUGAUUGGUGUAGAAUCACUGUAUGAUCAAAAUGCACAAUGAAACUGUACAAUUCAUAAAUUAAGGAAGUCUGGCAACUUUAAUGUCAUCAAAAGAUACCAAUUUUAUAAUAAAAGGGAGAUACUCUAUUUAACAACACAGUCUCAAGUCUUAUCAGAGGUGUUCAAACCUCAAUCAACUCCAAAACUCAUGCAGUAAUGAAGAAUUUCUGAUCUUUCAUUUUUGUUUUAUACUGACUUUAAAAGAAACUUGUAAAACACGAGACACUUAUCCAUCAUAAUACAACAAAUGAAGUUUUAAACAACUUCACAUACCCAUAUGGCUACAGAGCAAAAAAUUUACUCAAAAAAGGACAACCUAAUGUUCUGAUUUAAGGCACAAGUGUUUUGAUGAAAUGGAGCUACAUUGCUAUCUAGUUACUGUGGUUUUGCUGAAAUAUGUGUGGUCUUCUGUUGUUUUUUUAUGCCCCACCUAUGAUAGAAGAGGGGCAUUAUUUUUUUCGGUCUGUGUGUCCGUUUGUUUGUCCAUCCGUCUGUCCCACUUCAGGUUAAAGUUUUUGGUCUAGGUAGUUUUUGAUGAAGUUGAAGUCCAAUCAACUUAAAACUUAAUACACAUAUUUCCUAUGAUAUGAUCUUUCUAAUUUUAAAGCCAAAUUAGAGUUUUGGCCCCAAUUUCACGGUCCACUGAACAUAGAAGAUGAUAGUGCGAGUGGGACAUCCGUGUACUAUGGACACAUUCUUGUUUAACAUUCUUAAACUGUUUUCAUUGCAUACUUAAGUCUAUUGUAAAUAUGAUUAAAAUCUAUAAAAUAUUUUUUCAGAUUAAACUACAACAGCUUCUGAUGAGACAAAAAUUGAUUUUUAGGUUCAGAUUACUACAGGAUAGUUGCCAUGUUGUACUGCAAAAGCUUUUGAUGAGACAGUAUUAGAAAUUGAUUUUUAUGUUCAGAUUACAACACGAUGGUUGCCAUAAUCUAAUGCAUAAUGGUUUACUGGUUGACAUUUUGAAAGGCGAACAACAAAACAUGACCAAAAUGUUACCACUGUCCAAAACAGUGCCAACGAAUAAAGAAAGAAGAAACCAUAAGAUGUAACAAGAUUUAUUAUUAACUUUUGUCAAUAUAAAGUUUUCUUCAACAAAGAAAAAGAAGAGCAUGACAGACUAUAAUAAAUAUGAUGAUAAUAUAAUUAUCUCUAGUAUCACAAAACAGACAGAAAUAAUAAGCUUUAGACUUCUAUAUAUACCCCUCUGAAGAAGUCUCUGAGGAAUAUAGUUAUGGUACUGGUCAAGUAAAUUAAAACAAUCAGCUGGAAACAGAAGAAAUAAUGAGCUACAGUCAAUUAAACAAAUGAGCAAGACAGAAAAUAAUAAACAUUGUAAAGAAAAGUGUUGAUGAUAGAAAAUAGUCUCUGGCAUCAAUCAACAGACAAAACUCAUGGAAUCUUGAUAGUGCUCCCACCUCAAUUUAUUUAAUAACUCCAGCUAAUACUCACUAUGGCUGGCCAGGAUGUAAUGUGAUGAUUUGUUGUGAAGGCUUUUAAGCUACUAAGGAGAAGGGCAUGGUACAAAAAACGUCUACAAUAGGGCAGGUAGUCAUAGAAAUUGGAACAUGGUGCUGCACUCACCUAUAACUUCAUGUAGGAAACACCAAAUUAAGCCUCAUAUAAGAUUUACAUAAGAAAUUGUGCCAGUUAGGAGGAUAUCUCUUAACCUUGUUGAUUAAAGAAACGCUGAAUUUUAGUCAGACACAAGACCAGUAAGGAGGAUAUCCCUUAACAGUGUAGAUUGGAAGAAUGAUUGAAUGUUACUGAGAAUGUAGAUUGAUAUUCUAUGAAGAUUCCACACAUUAAAAAAAAAACCUUUAUUUUGUUAUUUUAUUACUUUGUAUCAAAAAUAAAUUAGCACAAUGUUGAA